rnacentral:rRNA from 1 species
AGUGGCGAACGGGUGAGUAAAGCAUCGGAACGUGCCCAGUAGUGGGGGAUAGCCCGGCGAAAGCCGGAUUAAUACCGCAUACGACCUAAGGGUGAAAGGGGGGGAUCGCAAGACCUCUCGCUAUUGGAGCGGCCGAUGUCAGAUUAGCUAGUUGGUGGGGUAAAGGCCUACCAAGGCGACGAUCUGUAGCUGGUCUGAGAGGACGACCAGCCACACUGGGACUGAGACACGGCCCAGACUCCUACGGGAGGCAGCAGUGGGGAAUUUUGGACAAUGGACGAAAGUCUGAUCCAGCCAUGCCGCGUGCGGGAAGAAGGCCUUCGGGUUGUAAACCGCUUUUGUCAGGGAAGAAAUCUUCUGGGUUAAUAACUCGGGAGGAUGACGGUACCUGAAGAAUAAGCACCGGCUAACUACUUGCCAUCAGCCGCGGUAAUAC